rnacentral:misc_RNA from 1 species
AAAGUCGUAACAAGGUUUCCGUAGGUGAACCUGCGGAAGGAUCAUUAACACGUAUCCACGUUAAUCACCCGAGAACUUACUUAGGACUAGCUGAGGAUCAAGUAAAAAGCUUCGGCUCCGGCCCCUUUUCCUUUCUUUCGGGAAGGGAUCAAAGGUGGACAUUGAACCCCAGCUUCCUAAGCUGGUAUUCACCUCUUCGGAGGUGAAUACCAACAAGAACCUUGCGAGGGGUCUUUCGAGACUCCUCAAAGGGUUCUUGACGAGUAAACCCCUUUUUCUUUUUUCUUUUGCCUUGUGCAAAAGGAAAAAAACCCUAAAAGCCGUCUCUUUGUAGACCGCUUUUAACCGAAUACUGUACAACUCUUAGCAACGGAUAUCUUGGUUCUG